rnacentral:rRNA from 1 species
GACGAACCGUGCGAACGUUAUUCGGAAUCACUGGGCUUAAAGGGCGCGUAGGCGGGCUGCCAAGUCAGGGGUGAAAGCCUCCGGCUCAACCGGAGAAGUGCCUUUGAUACUGGCGGCCUAGAGGGAGGUAGGGGCCUGCGGAACUUCCGGUGGAGCGGUGAAAUGCGUAGAUAUCGGAAGGAACGCCGGUGGCGAAAGCGGCGGGCUGGACCUCUUCUGACGCUGAGGCGCGAAAGCCAGGGGAGCAAACGGG